CCGACCCUACUAACACUAGGAAAAUCUUCUCACUGGGUCCCUCUCUCAUGCCCAGAGUCUCUCACCUGGAACACGACGCACGUCUCUUUCUGCCCCACCAUUAGCGUCCAAUGCAUCCCUCCCUGUUCUGCUGAAAUCGCUCUCUCACUGUCUGUCUCUUGCUGAUGAGUUCCGGUGAAUUUUGAGCGAAUAGAAGACGAAGAGGAGAUAAAACCCACACACACGCGCACCAGGUGAGGCCAGGUGAGAAAGAGAGUAUGAGAGGGGAGAUCCCCACACACACACACACACAAGAGCACAUUCGGGCCAGGUGGAAAUUAUGAAGGAGCAGCAGCUUCAUACGAAGUGGGAUGAUCGGUGGCGUCUCUCAGCAAAUACAGACCAUUUCCUUGACGUGGAAAAUCUUCUUCCUCUGUGAUUCACCCUUUUCAGCUGAAAUCCGAUGACUCUCUUCUUGGAGGAAGAGGUGAGAGAACGGAAGUUUAAUGCGAUCCCGCAGUAUGAGCUGCACCAUAUGGCGUUGAGAUAUUGUUUCCCAGAUCAAUUGACAAGAAGUAUCAGAGAUAUCGAGAGGAUGUUGACACUCUCCGUGACCGGACGACGGUGAAAUUAUUUGCAGAAAUAUUUCAGAGCGGUUGAUAAUAUAACAUCAACUCAUCUGCCUCGCCCAUCUUCCAAACGACACACAAUGAUAAGUUACUGAUUGAUGUCAGAGGAAGUGCUGUGUGAUGUGAUUUUAGCUGACUUAUGAGGAGAUUGAGGUGAAACUCCUGGACGCAGACUUGCUUCCUGAAUGCCAAUGAACUGAAAUUGAAUACUUGGACCGGAACUCUUUCUCACACAGGACUGAAAAUCGUCCAAGAGAGCUCCCCGUUGAGAGUUUAAGGAGAGACCUUUAGCCUAUUUGUGCAUUUGCUCUGGAAGAACUACGAUCUGACUGAGAACGACCCCUGAGAGAAACUUCUUAAUGCGGAUGAGUGUUGUCCGGCCUGGAGGGUAGACUAAUAGCCCCUUGGAUUGGGUCAUUCCAUGUCCAAUUAUAUUUAUAUGUGUGUAAAAUACCAUGUAUAUCAGGGUGAUAGGUAAAUAGAGAA